AGUGAACGCUGGCGGUAGGCCUAACACAUGCAAGUCGAACGGCAGCACAGAGGAGCUUGCUCCUUGGGUGGCGAGUGGCGGACGGGUGAGGAAUACAUCGGAAUCUACUCUGUCGUGGGGGAUAACGUAGGGAAACUUACGCUAAUACCGCAUACGACCUACGGGUGAAAGCAGGGGAUCUUCGGACCUUGCGCGAUUGAAUGAGCCGAUGUCGGAGUAGCUAGUUGGCGGGGUAAAGGCCCACCAAGGCGACGAUCCGUAGCUGGUCGGAGAGGAUGAUCAGCCACCCUAGAACUGAGACACUGUCCAGACGCCUACGGGCGGCAGCAGUGGGGAAUAUUGGACAAUGGGCGCAAGCCUGAUCCAGCCAUACCGCGUGGGUGAAGAAGGCCUUCGGGUUGUAAAGCCCUUUUGUUGGGAAAGAAAUCCAUCUGGUUAAUACCCGGGUGGAAUGACGGUACCCACAGAAUAAGCACCGGCUAACUUCGUGCCAGCAGCCGCAGUAA
rnacentral:rRNA from 1 species